GAUGCAGAGCAAUGACAGAGGUGGUAAUAAAUGACAAAGAAGGAGUUGAAAAAGAAGAGAUUGUUUUCAGCAAAUUGAAGGCGUUGAUUCUGUGUGAUUUAGAAAGUCUCACAAGUUUCUGCUCUGCCAAUUACACCUUCAGAUUCCCAUCUUUGGAAUAUCUGGAAGUGAUUGGUUGUCCCAAGAUGAAGAUUUUCACUACAGGAGAAUCAAUCACGCCUCCGAGAGUAGACGUCCAGUAUGGAGAGACAUCGAAUCAACGGCGUUGGGCUAAUAAUGAUCUAAACACAACCAUACAACAAUUACAUGCUGAGAAGGUACGGAUAUACAUAUUACUCUCUAUCUCCCAUGAUAAAUUUUUACAAAAUUUGCUUUUUCUUUUUAAAUAAAAUAUAGAUAAAAUGUUUGUUAUAAAGUAAAAGUUUAAAUUGAUGAAUAAGAAUUUUAUUUUCAGCUGUUGGCGGGGUCGUCGAUAUACUCUACGCAGUACGACUAAUUUCAUAGGCUUCUUAUGACUUGGAGUUGCGAAUUUUAUUUAAUUUAUUUAAUCCCAUGGCUUGUUUCGCAAUUUCAUCUUAAUUAUUUAGAAUAGGUCCCUCGGUUUACUGUUAAACUAGGAAAUAGAACCGCGCUUCGCGCGGCUUUAAAAAUAUCAAAUUAAAAAUAAAAAAUUUGAUGAAAUUCAAAUUUCUUAAGAUAACCUUCUGAUCUCUUCUCAAAAGGAAGAUUAAACAAGUUAAUUUUGUAUGUUUAUUUCAAUAAUAAUAACGAUCGCACAUAAUAAUAAUAAUAAUAAAAAUAAUAAUAAUAAUAAUAAUUGGCACCUGACGACGUUGAGGCUCAUGAGCAUUCCACAAAAUAUAAGUUUCAAUUGCAUCGAGCCCUCCAUCCUUUGCCUUCUGUAUAAGAUCUGGCCACAUCUGCACAAAUAUAACGCAUAUAGAAAUAAAUCAUAUCAAAUUUUACAUAUUUUAAGAAUAAUAAUGCUGUUGGAUCCAAAAAUAUUGCCCAUAAUUUUUCCUAAACAUGAAAGCGCACCGUUUUGAAUGUGGGAUCAUGUUUGGCUUGUUAGGAAAAAAAAUUAAGAUAAUAUUUUUGCAACAAAGUAGCUUUUUUUUUUUUGGUUAAAAGAAGAAGAAAAUGUGAAAGUGCAAGUGAUUUGAGAAAUUGUAAAUUAAUUAUUUGCAUACAGUACUUGUGGACUACUGCGAAAAUAUAAUGAAUUGCACCAGAGAAGAUAACUCGUCGUUCUCCAUUAAUUAUAAUGGUAGUUGCAUCAUAAUCGACUUGUGUUGCUGAUGAUGACAAGCAACUUAAAUUUAGAAUAAGAAGAAUUAUGCCUUAGUGGCAUUGUUGAGGGAAGAUGAAAGAACCUCUCUUCCUAUGUUAAUUAAUUAAUGUAUUUUAAGCCGCUAAAGUUUAAUUGCUAGUAUAAUAAAAUUUGAAGAAGCCAAAAGACACUAAAUAAAAGGUUGCAUAAUUAAAUAUGAGAUUAUGGCAUUAAAAUUAGGCCCUUAUGACAUUGUUGAAGGAAGAUGAAAGAGCCUCUCUUCAUAUGUUAAUUAAUUGAUGUAUUUUAAGCUACUAAAGUUUAAUUGCUAGCAUAAUAAAAUAAAUGAAUGUUUCAAAAGAUUUAUUAUUAAUUAUUAUUCAUGAUUAUAUAUUGUUGGAUUUCAAUAGAAAGAGGAAGAGACAUGAAAAUUAAACUUAGGCCCUAGCUGCAUUAUUGAGGGAAGAUGAAAGAACCCCUCUUCCUAUGUUAAUUAAUUGAUGUAUUUUAAGCAACUAAAGUUUAAUUGCUAGCAUAAUAAAAUAAAUGAAUAUUUCAAAAGACUUAUAAUUAAUUGUUAUUAAUGGUUACAUAUUGUUGGAUUUAAAUAGAAAGAGGAAGAAAUAAUGAUGCCACAAAUCUUAAAUAUUUAAUGUUUAUAGAGUUUGAAGAAGCCAAAAGGCACUAAACAAAAUAUUGAAUAAUUAAAUAUGGGAUCAUGACAUUAAAAUUGGGCUCUAAUGGCAUUGUUGACAUUAAAAUUGGACUUAUAAUUAAUUAUUAUUAAUGAUUACAUAUUGUUGAAUUUAAAUAGAAAGAGAAAAAAAGUACAAAGAAUAUUCACCAAUAUUUUAGAUAUUUUAGAUAAUAGAAAAUAUAAAAAGAUGAGGAAUGAUAUAUAUUAAUAAAGUUACUAUUUAUUAAAUGAGUUAAAUACAAUCAAAUUAAUUAUGAGAAGAUGAAAAGCUAAAUCUAAAAAAAAUUCUCUAUUUAUUAGAUAAUAGAGAAUAUACAAAGAAGCAAAAUGGUGAUGCCACAUCACCUCCUCAAGUCCUAGCUUUAUAUAGAUAUAUAGAUAUAUAGAUAGAUAGAUAUAGAUUUGCAAUGCAAUUUUAAUGAUCCCUUCAGACUUUUAUGGACAGAUUUUGCAUAAUUGAAUGUCUUUUUAGUCUAGUUUAAUUUGAGUCUUUUUCUUCUUCUUUUUUUUUUUUUUUUGGGAGCUCCCCUCGUCUUCUAAAAUUUUAUAACUCCUUGCAUACGUUUUUAUGAUAAAAUUUCAUUAAAAGCCUUCGUAUUUUAUAAUUCGUUGAAAACAUGCAUACUUUUUCCAUUCUUUCUUUGCCAAUUAUUUAUUCUCAUCAUUGCUGUUCUUUUAUUUUAGUUUGUGUUCUGUUUGUUCAUUGGGUUUGCUUUUCUUCACGCCUAUAUUUCCUUGGAAAGUUAGAAGGCAAGGAAAGUACUUAGAAAAUGUUCUUGUUCUUCCCUAUGAACACAUAAUUAAAGAACAGCUGAAUAUCAUUCAUCGGACUAAAAAAAUUUAAAAAAAAAAACGUAAUCAGUGCAUUGUUCCUAUAACAAAUGCUUAAACCAUCAAAUGUUAGCUAUGAACAAGUAUAUUGUGGAAAUAUUGUUUGAAAAUAUUUCAUAAAAAAUCAAGUUUUCACAAACCAAAAAGGGACUAAUUUGGUCUAGCAUAUUCAUAAUAUUUUCUCCACUGUUCCUGUUAAAAUUUCUCUACUCUAUGAUUGCAGAAUGUUUGGAUACUGAUGACGAUUUAAGUCACUCUUCUUCUGUGCGCAAUUUGAAAUAAGGUCGUUUUUCUUUUUUCCUCUAUUCAAAGUUUACAUUCUGAGGGGUUCCCGUUUCCAUCUUCGUGAUCUUCUUGUGAUUCACUGCAUCGUGUCGCUACAUCUGUGAUAGUGUGAGUUGCAACCUGUCUGUUUUCUUUGUUUGAUCAUUGUAUGUAUUAAAAAAGUUUACAUUUCAUUCUAGAUAAGCUCUUUGUAUGUAUUAAAAAAAUUUUAUUCUCAAUAUAUAUGACUCAAUGAGAGGUCUUUUAUUAUAUAUAUGUCAUGAAUUUCUAUUGUAUUUUGAGAUUUGAUGGUGUAUUAUUGUCUCAUUGCAAGGUCUUGUAAUCACUCUGAUUCUCAUUUGAGGAGGUUGGUCUCGUCUAUGUGUAUGUAUUUAUAUCCACAAGAAAUUUGAUAAAUGGUCUUGUCGUUUUCUCAUUAAAACAUCUAGUGCUUCAUGGGUUGGAGGGCUACUAGGCAUCAGGGCCAGAUCUUUAAACUCAAAGUUCUUCGUGUCAUUUACCCAUUUGAUUAUCAAAUAGUCAUAAAAGCAUAUAAAUUCAAGUUAGUGUAUCAUUUUUACACAAUAUACUAAAACUAACACAAGAACUUGGCCGACAUUUUCAGUUGAAUAACUCAGACCCCCGAACUUCCUCGGGCUGACAUCCCAAAGUGAAAAUGUCUAAAAAAAUAGUUGCAACAUUUACCCAUUUGAUUAUGAUUCAAAAAAAAACACAAACGGAGAAAUUAUUGGGAUUGUUAAGAUAGUUAAAAUGGUUAGUUAUUGUUUCAGUUUGUUAAGCAAGAUAGGUAGAGUUACUGACGUGUUAGCUGAGCUGGCAUAAGUUAUUCAACUCUCAGGUGCUUAGAAACCUUGUAUAAAUACAUUUGUAAUCAGCUAAAGAAUGGAUGAUUCAGAUUUAUUCAUCAAAUCCAGCUCUUAGAUGAUCUCUGUUCUUUCUUUCAUUUUCUCUCAUUUUCUUACUUAUCAAACAGAUUAGAAACUUUAACUUGGUAUCAGAGCCUGAAAGGUUUGGUAGUUGUUCUGUUUUAUCUUCAGUUUCAUUUUGUGAUCACAGAAACGUUAGGACUUGCUUGCAUGAACGCACAUUAAACCACGGAAAUUUUGUCAGACAUGCACGCAAAUGAAAUUUUAUCAGCAGUCUUGUAAUUUUCUAUUUUUGUUGUUGUCGUCAUUUUUUUACUACUAGUACUGUUUGAAAUUCUAGUAUUUUGGAUGUGAAAUUUAUUAUAUUAUGAUAGGUCCCAGUCAGAAUUAGCGGAAACAACAAGUAAAUAAUUUGUUCUUCUUAGGGUAAGAACUACCGCAAUUGCUAAUUGAAUUAGAUAAAAGUCUGAUAUCUUUUUAUUGAAUUAUUCGAGUCUAUUUAUAGAACAAAAUUAAUGAAAUAAAGUAGUUAAAAUCAAUUAAACCACUUAGCUAUAAUUUCGAAGUAAAUAAUAAUCUUAAAGGAAUCAUGAUUAAAUCUGAAUUCUUCAUCAAUACGGCUUGACUUAGUAAGCUUUCCGUUGAUUUUGUGAAGAGUCCUUGAAGGAACGUGAUGCCCACCUCAUGCAUGGCUUGCAUGUUACUUGCAUGUGCCCAUACAUUUUCGUUAUUGGCUUGCAUGGUUGCUUGCAUGUGCCCAUGCAUAUUCGUCAUAUUUGUUGUUGGGUUUUGCUUCUCACUUGGACUUGCGUAUACUCUUAUCAUAUUAGAUAUUCGACAUAUAUAUGAUGCUGAAUACAGGGUAUGUGUUGUCUAAAUUUAUUUUAUUUUGUUUGCUUCACAUCCAAUUUUCAAAAGCUUUGAAGAAUGCUAAGAGAAGGAGCAAAGGGCUAAAGAGUCAAAUGUAACAUUGCUAUUAAUUUGUUAAUUGCCAUCAUUUUUAAUUUUUGCCCUGCUUGUUCUGUUUACUCAUUUAUUUCACUUGGUUUUGCUCCACGUCUAUCUUUCCUAACUUAGGAAGGCAAGGAUUUUGAAAGUUCUGAAGAAGAUUCAGGUCACUCGUGUGAAUAAGAGCUGUGUUACUGUUUAAAAGUUUUCAUGCUCUGGAAUAAAAUUUGCUUUACUGUGUUACUGGUCAACUUCAUUAUUCUACUAAUGCUUUACUUCAUCUUCAUUGUAUCACUACAUUGACAGCGUUGACAGUGUAAGAGUCGUUUUCACGAUUUUUAAGAAAUUUUGAUCACAUUAAACUUUUGAUCUGAGUUCAUAACAAAAAUCAAAACGGCGCAUGACAUCAAGAUUAUGAUGAAUCAAAUUGAACUCCCAAUACGUUAGUUCAUAAAAAAUGCUUUUCUUCUUCCAAGUAAUCUUAUCAUUUCUUUCAUUUUAUUCAUUCUCCUCUUUUCUCCUCUUUUCAAGUCUUCAAUCUUAUACUCAGUAAGUACAUUACUGAACUGCUUUUUCACCUCAGCUCCAGACAACCGAGAAGGUGCUUGUCCGGUUGUCCCCACUCUCUAGUUUUAUCAGAUGGCACUAUAUUUUCGGAACCUAUGAUUUGUUGGUAAAAAUCGACGGUGACCCACGUGACAAUUUUCUACUAUGUAUCAACCAAUUAGAUCUAGUGUUUUGUUGGCAAACAAGAAAUGCUUAUUUACCUUUAAUACUCCACCCAAACAAGUUGGCAUAUGCUAGAAAGUCGGAGAUAGUCCAUAACAAUGCUGCGUGUGACUUGAACAUUUGAUUAUGUGAUGCAUUAUGCAUCAUUCCAACCAUACUAGCAUCACUACCCGAGUCAUGACUAACCUGUUUCUUAGUUAGAUUUCAAAGAUGAAGAUGGCUCACCCUCCAAUAUCCAGUUUUAAUACUUUAACCAAUAGCCAUUUAUAAUGAUAUGGUCUCUUGCCACUUUCCUUAUAAGGAAAUAUCGAUAUUACGACACUUCUUAGAAGGACAAUAAAUUCUUUUAUCACCAACAACAUUCUCAAAUGCAAAAUCUAUAAAUUUUUUGACCCAUCAGUAUAUGAAUUGGAUAUCUAUUUGGCAAACCAACCCAACUCUGGUCCAUGACUAUGUCCUUUUAAUGCACUAGAAAAAUUAGUUAAAUAAAUCACUUUAAUUCUUCAUUUCUACUACUAAACAAGAUAUUUUCAUGUGUGCGCAGUUUCGCAAUAUAAUAAAAAAAAUUAUUAUACAAUUUUAUGGUUAAUCUCAUUAGAACGUUUAUAUAUAUGGAAGCAAGCAAAGCCACAAGAAUCAGAGAAAAAGAUGUGAAAAUUAAAGUAUAUAUACAACAAUAAUUAAUCUAAAAAACAGUUUGCAAUACCUUCUGUAAAGAAAUAUCCUCACCCACUGCUGAGAACUUCACUUGGCUAUCAAUUACAGAUAUAUAAAGCCUGUUACCUAGAAACAAAAAAUUAGGUCAGCCAGCUAAAACAUAUUUAUAAACCAACAUUGGAGAUAGUACUCCAUUUAUAAACAAAAUUACAAGACUCAAAACCAAGUCGACUCAGCAAAAUCAUAACCGAUUACAUUCAUCCCACUCAGCUCCUCCACUCCCAUCAAUAUAUCCAACAUUCCCUUCAUAUUUACAAAAGGUAAGUGGUCCUAUAUAUCCCACUCAAGAAUGCAUAAGUUUCUUCAAUCUUAAGUAUCUAAAGUUUUCCUCUACGUUUAUAGAAACUUCGGAAGCAUCUCCCUAUAGUUCUUCAAGUACACGACAUAGAUAUAUGAAUGUUUAUGUGUUAUGCCAAAACAACACAUGACACCCAUUUGUCUAGUAUGCACCCAGAGAACAUGAGGAGCAGCUGCUGAAAAACCCAUUUUUACGUGGGAAAAAAAUUUCAGGCACUAGCUGCCAUAGAAAUCUAUGCAUUACCAAACUGUCCAAGCCUAGAUAUUUCAAGAAUUAUUAAUAGACAUAAGAUCCUCACUAUCAUCCAAAAGAUGACACUAAUAAAACAUGUGUCUAUUAAUAAUUUCUUAAAGGAGUUUAAGCUUUCAAUGCAUGUAUCAAAAGUUUAAAAUUGAAUCUGAAACUUGAAUAACACAUAAAAAUCAUAAAUCUCUUCAAUUUAUUCCUAAUAAAAUGUAGCAUUUUUUCACAUUUCAUUUCUUAAGCAAAACCAUAAAAAAUUACAAACAAUAAAUACAUUUUCUAGCACUGAUGCACAUUAUGUUUACUGAGCAAUAAGUUUUAAGUCAUUCAUAUUAAAAUACUUCUUCCUAUUCUAUCAACAAAUAACUAGUACGUACACACAAUUAAUAAAUUAAAUGUAACCUGGUUGUGAAUCUUGCAAAGUCUUCCUAUUUUUUUUUUUUUUUUUUGGUGGGGGGGGGGGGGGAGGGGGGAGGGGGUGGUUAUGCUCAUUUGUGUGUUGUUAACAGAAAUUGAUCCAAAGCCUCAGUUUUAAUUAGCUUCAUUAUAGCCAAUGAUUAGGUGUUUAAAAACCAAUGAAUAUUUUUUAUAAGAAAUCAACAAUAUUGUUGAAAGAAAAACCAAAUAAAAAUAAUAAAGCAAUGCAUAGAUUAAGGCUCUUUAUUAUCUAAUAACUAAUCAAACUAAGUUGUGGGUAAAGGAGAAUAUGUUUGUUUGGCCAAUAAUAAACUCAAGGAAUCACCAAUAAUCACCUAGUUACUAUUCCUUAUGCCAUGCAAUGUAAUGGCGUCGGUAAUGGCGACAAGGCAGGCAAUAACUAGCUAGCUAGUUAUGAUAGUUGCUUAACUUAACCUACUGGAAAUCUGAAGACCAAAAUGAAGAAACUUUGCCUAGAACUAGAAUAGGAAAACAUUCAUACCCAAAACCAAUAUACAUGAUUAAGAAACUUGAUUAUAUGUAUAUUUUUGUUUGCCACACCAAAUCCCACUAUUUCCAUACUCAUAAGCACAAAAAACCAUCGCAAAAAUGAAUGACCAUAUAAAAUAAAAUAGGUCGCAGGACAUUGAGAAUAGGACAAUAUGAUUUAUGUACUGUAAAAUAACUAUAUCUGCAGUCAACUAUAUUUCUGUUAGAACUCUAAAGUUUUCCAUUAAAUUUUUUUCCCUGUUAGGUAAACCACUUAACUGAAACACUUAAGCAAGAUUGACAAUCAUAGACAUAAAAGUAUUAAUAGGCUCAUUCAAGUGAAAUGAGCAUUAUUUCACAUAUCCUUUAGGCUUUUAAGUCAUUUAGAAGUCAUUCAUGUUAAACAAUUUCUUCAUAUACUUUCAAUAUAAUUAGUACAUACACAAUUAAUUAAUUAAAUAAAUCUGUUUCAGCUAGCACAGGAACUUAAGCAAUCAGAGCUAUUAGUUAUAGCUAGGACUUGAAUGAGGCACCUUUCAAAGUUCAAGAGGAGCAUCUGAACAGAAUGAAAGCAGUUUGUAGAAAUGGUAGUGAUGCUUUACAUCUACAUGCUCUUACACAAUAUGAACUUUCAUUUAUUCAAGAACAUAACACUAAUCCAAGCUCUUACUCUACAAGUCAAUUCAGUUUGUAGAUGCAAGCCAUUGUAAAAACUUUUGUGUUAUAAUUUCCGUAAAUGGAACAUGACAUUACUAAUAUAGAAUCAGCAAUGUUAUAUAACUUAUCAGACAAUAUAACAAGCACUUGGCGAGCAUAUAAGAUAAACUAAAACAAGUUAAUUAGAAAAUGAAACUAAAACCCAAGCUCCGCUAUUCAUUGUAGAAGCUUUAAACAUAAAAUUAAACUAAAUCUAAUGCCAAAACAUUAGAAUGGAUGUUGGAAUUAAAGCUAAAUUCAAUAGUAAUCCAAAUGAAUCCAUUUGAACUUUGUAAACUCCGCAGAACAAAAUUAAUUUGAGUGAGCAAACUCACCAAUGGCACAAGAACAGAAGGGCUUCAACUUCUAGGAACAAAAAACAUUGCCGGUGGGACAAAAAUUGACAUUAAUGGCUACAAUACGAAUUAAAGAGAUCAAAACCUAUAAUUACAAGCUAAGAAAGAGAGGAAACUCAUAAUCACAAGCUUACCUGAAACGAAGAGAGAGAAUAAGAUGAAGAAGAAGAUCGCUGCCGUUUUACGCCAUUCUCCGGCUACCAGUAAGGUUUAGGAUGCUGGCCAGGCACGAGAGAGAAUUUGGGACUUUGGUCUUCAAAAUAUUGACUCCAGCAAAUAGUUUUCUAUUUAGAAACAAAUUUAUAACUCUACCGUCACUCUCUACCGUCACGUGGUUAGUAACAUAAGUGAGAGCAGUCUAGCCGUCACAUAAACGGUCACAAAAGCAACUGGCUGUUACAAGUUUAGGAAUGGCAGAUAUUGCCGCGGGGACAUGACCCUCGAGAUUUUCCCAAUUCAGGUGGGUACAUAAUUUUUUACUUAAUUUUUUAUUUGAAAAGGAGACGGAGAUAGUUUUUUUACCUAAUUUCUUAUUCAGAGAAAGAAUGGGGGAUCGGCAGAAUCCCUAUUCUCUUCUAAUUUUUUGAUUUAAUUUUAUUUUUUAAAAUUAUUUGUAAAUAAAUAAUAAAAUAUAAAUAAUAAAAUAUUAAAUAUUAGUAUAAAUAAAAAAAUAAAAUAAUUAUAUUAUUAAAAUUUAGGCCUAAUUGACUACAUUAAUAUUUGGAUGAGAAAGUUAUGCUUAGGAUGAAAGAUUUUAAUAUUUUGAGUUGGUGUAAAAUAAAUGUCUAUAGAUAUCCUAUACUGGCAUGAAUUGCUAGAGAUAUUUUGGCAAUUCUAAUUACAAAUGUUGCUUCUGAAUUAGCUUUUAGCACCAGUGGUAGAGUACCGUAACACGCUUUAUUCAAGCACAUUGGAGGCUUUAAUAUGUUGUCAAAGUUGACUACAAGCUUACAAUGACAGUAUGAGUUUAUUUUACAUUGUAAUUAUAUUAUAUAAUUAUUAAUAUUUUCACUUAGAAUUUACAUUACUUAUAUUAUUUUUGUUGUUUUAAAUUUGAAAUCUGAGGCUAUCUCUCAAUUUGUCACAUUCCUCGAGGAAGAACAAGAAGAGUAGGAGACACAAGAGGUAAAUACUUUUAUUAGAAAUAUUGAUUAAGUAUCUAUAUUCAUUUCAUUUAUCUCAUUGUUGAUAUAAAAGUAAUUUCUUUUUUUUUAUUAUAUGAUUUUGAAGAUUGCCGAAGAUAAUUAUUAUGGUGAUUUAUACUUUGUAAUGUGACUUUUGUAAUAGAUUAAUGUUAAUGUAAGAUAUAUCGUCAAACUUUAUUUUUAUUUUUAUUUUUUAUUUUAAUAUGAUUAAAUUAAAAUUUAAAACUAAAAACGUAUCAGUUAUUCGAGAAUCGAGGACCUUUAAGGAUCCCCUAUUAUUAUUUGGGGAGGGGAGGGGGAUUCCCUAAAGCAAUUUUGUGAAUGGGAAGAGGCCAGGGAUAUAUACAGAAUAUCGAGAAUGGGUACGGGGAGGUCGGUCUCUUCCCCUCCCCUUCCCAUUGCCAUUCCUAACAAAGUUGGCAAUACAUGUACGGGCCGCUUUUGUAAAAUUGCUUUAAGGGUCGUUUGGGAUUGCUUUUGGGAAUAGCAUGCAAGAUAUAUAUAAAAAAUAAAAUCGUAGAAUAACUUUUACCUCUAAUUCGAUUUUUUCUUCUUUUUUGUAAAUUAUUAUGCAUUUAUAUUAAAGUCACUGUGUAUGAUUGGAUUAUUAAAAGUUAUUUGAGAGAAUAUGAAUUGACUUAAUAAGUUAUUACGUGAUUGAUGAUGAUCAGAGCUUACCCAACUGGCAUUAAGUGGAAAAGACUCGAGGAUGACUUUGCAGAGCGAUUUCCCACAACACCUUUUUGGCAGUCUUAAACUACUACAAACAGUGGAUGAUGACUCAACUUGUUUUCCACUUGAUUUACUUGAGAGAUUUCAUAAUCUGGAAACUCUCAUACGGCGUCGUUGUUCAUGCGAAGAGGUAUUUUCGAAUGGAGGAUACUUGAAGAAACAUGUGAGGAAGUUUACAAUGAUAAAACAUUUAGAUCUGCACAAAUUUAAUCAUCUGAAGCAAUUGUGGAAACAAGACUCCAAAUUGGACUCGUUUGUUCAAUGCCUUGAAAUUCUAAAUGUACAUUAUUGUCAAAAUCUGUUAAUUCUUUUGUCUUUGCUGCUAAUUCUUUAAUUCUUUUCGGUUCUUAAGUUUCUCUGUGAUUUGUUCUGGAUUGAUUCUUUUUGCAUCUUGGUUGUUUGAUUUGCGAUCUUGGCGAGUAUUUGGAGUUGAUCAUUAUCGAAUCUGUCACUCCAAACUCUACAGCGACUCUUAUCAAUGUUGGUAUAUGGAUGCAGAGCAAUGAGAGAGGUGGUGAUAAAUGACGAAGAUGGAGCAGCAAAUUUUGAAGAAGAGAUUGUUUUCACCAAAUUGAAGAUUUUGUAUCUGUAUGAUUUGGAUAGUCUCACAAGUUUCUGCUCUGCCAAUUACACCUUCAAAUUCCCAUCUUUGGAAGAUUUAUCUAUAAUUGGUUGUCCCAAGAUGAAGAUUUUCACUAAAGGAGAAUUAAACGCGCCUCUCAGAGUAAACUUCUACUAUGGAGAGAGAGACGAUCAACAGCCUUGGGCUAAUAAUGAUCUUAACACAAUCAUACAGCAUUUACAUGCUGAGAAGGUACGAAUAACUCACUAUCACCAGUGGAAAAAUUUUAUAAAAUUUCUCUUUUAAAUAAAAUGCACCAAAUAGAUCAGAUAUUUGUUAUAAAGUAAGUUUAUGAUCACGUACUGGCAGAUGGGAUACAUAUGUGCUUCAUUCUUGAAACUCUACCCUAUUUAAAAUUGAUAUUUUCACAAGAGUUAGAGAAUCCUAUUCAUUCAAUUAUCCAAAAUCAGAGAAUCUUAUUCAUUCAAUUACAAAAUUUCGUUAAUCGUUAGUUUUUAACUUCAUUACUGUAUGGAAGUCCUGUCAAAUUAAAUUGCUGUUGUUAAAUUUAUUAAAUCUCUUGCUUCCCUGCAAAUCUCUGCGUGCUUUACUUUUAAUUGAAACUAAUGAAUGAAAAUUUUACUUUCAGCUGUUGGAGGGGUCCUCAUCUUAUUCAAUGAUGUAUAUGUCCUAAUGGCAUUGGCCUUUUACUUUAAUUACAAGCGAGUUGUGAAUUUGAAAAACAAAGUCCCAGGUAAUUCAAUUUCAUUUCAUUUUAUUUUAUUUCUUGGCUUGUUUUAUCGCUUCAUCUAAAUUGUUUGGAAUACACCACUAGUUUAUUUUUACUUUUAGAAUGAGUUUUAAUGUUUUGUUCUGAGAUUUAUAUGCUGAUUUUAUAUCAUUAAAGGUCUUAGUGACUUAGUUUGGUCUUCACUUAUUUAUUUAUUUAUUUUUUUGACGUCGUGGCUUUAUAAUGUGUUUUUUUUUUUAAUUUUGAAUUUUAUAAUUCCUUGAAAAUGUCAUUGAAAGGGCCAGCACUUUUAUGUGGAAACCAUCUCAUCCUCCUUAUUUCAAACUAUUAAACAACCAAAUGUAUCCUAACAUAUAUGUUUAGAAUCAAUCUACUCAUUAAGAUAUAUGGUAAUGGUGUCAUCUGUUUGCUAUAGUUUGAUUACAAGAGAACUUUUCCAUUUGUUAGUUGCCAUCUUUGUUGAUCUGUUAAUUCAGUCUUCUUCUGUUUGUCCUGUUUAUCUGUUUAUUUCAACCUUUCUUUCAAAACUUAGAAGGUAUGGAAAGAGCAAGUACUUAGAAAUUGCGAGAAUUAUAUCAAAUCAUGCAUAUAUGCCCCUGCCUAUGAACUCUUAGGAACAAUCGAAUAUCUUUCCUUGAAUAGCAUAAAACAAAAUCUACAGAUCAUUAAACCAUCAAAAGUUAGCUAUGAACAACUAUAUAAAAAUCAUUUGUUUCUCACCUUUUCGUGAGUCUGAGAAGUUGUAAAUUCUACUGAGUUUCUCACCUUUUUUUUUUUUUGGACAAUUGGAGUUUUUAGUUUAUGAAACUUAAUGCCUAUAUUUCUCACAUUGUAAAAGUGUUUUGAAAAGAUGGUUUAUAUUGCACCAUAAAAAUGUGGUCUGAUAAACCAACAGGGGAGUAGUUUGAUCCAGUUACGUGAAAUGCAUGCAAAAUAAUAUUUUCUCUAUAGUUACUGAAGAGAAUUUUGGUCACUUUGGUGUGCAUUAUCUGGAAUAAAGUCGUUUUCCAGUUUCUUCAAAGUUUAUGUGCGGAGGACUUCCGGUUUCCAUCUCAAGUUCAAAUACUAAUAAAGAUGAGUAAAUUCAUCAUCCGUGUGUCUGCUCUUUCUAUGCAUUUUGACAUUUUUUAUUAAUGCGUCUUUAACAGUAGUUUUUUUUCACAGAAAAAAUUGUCAGUAUUUUGUGUCAAAUAAAAAAUUAAAAAAUAUAUAUGUAUUUUGGGCGAAACUUUUUGCGAAAAAUAAUGAGUGCCAACACUUUAUAACUUAAUAUGUAUUUUGGGCUUGGCGAAGUUACGGUUCAUGUAACUAAUCAAUUUAAUCAUUACCGGAUAAAAUUGAAUACACCAGUAGUGUUUUUCCACGGAGAUAUUGCCAAAUUUUGUGUCAAAUAAAGAAUAAAAACCAUAAAUACCAGUAGUGUCCGAUUUUGAAAGCAAAGCAGCAUACAUAUUAACUACUAGGCUUUGAUGGUGGUUGCAGUAAAAAGGAUUAAAAGAGAGAGAGAGAGAGAACUUGAAAACUAUGGAAUGGAAGAUAAAUCAAAGUUAUAAAUUUGGACUCAAUAGUUUUGAUGUUCAAUCAAAUAUGGAGGGGCGAUUAGAAAUUAUCAAAAAUUUAGAGGGAUUUCAACCGUUCAAUUCAUUAUUAGGCGUUGUAGACUGCAGGGAUGCAGAAAUUUCCACAGGGACGAUGGCCCCGAGGGAUCUUCCUCAUUCGGGAGUUUGAUAAUUUUAGAUCUAAUUUUUCUAUGUGGAGACAAGACUGUGAUCAAUUAAUAUGUGUGGGUGUAAGUUACAUGAAAUAUAACUUAGUGUUUGCCCUAAUAUUUUAUUUGGCUCCACAUUUUUCUAUUUCUAUCUUUAGUUCUAUUUUUAAUUAAUUUAUUUCAAAUUUAUAGUAAAUACAUUUAAAAUUUCAAUUAUAAUAGUGUGAUGUAAAUAAAAAAUAUCACAAUACAUUUAUAAAAAUAAUAUAAAUAACAGCCAAUAUAAAGUAAAUAUAAACAUUUUAAAAUUGACAAAGAUAAUUUAAUUGAUGGUUUAUACUAUAUGACAUUUAUGGAUGAGUUCAACUUUGAAGAUUUACUUUUGCUUAAUUAGUUCAAAGAUUAUCUUCUAAUUUGAUGACAUUGACUUAAUUUGAUGGAAAUGAUUUUAAUCACUUUAGUUAAUUUGAUAUUUUUUGUGUUAAUAUGAUUUUAUAUUUUUACUUUAAGAUGAUUAAAUUAAGAAAAAAAAGAAAUUAAAUAAUCAGAGAUCGGAUAGCAUCGGAGAUCCCUUUGUAUUAUUUAGAAACAUCCAUCCCCUUCUUUCAAGUGAUUUUGAAGGAAAUGUCUAGAGUACAAAGAGAUAGACAGAGUAUUAAAGAUGAGUAUGGGGAAAUCAAUCCCCUCUCCUUCCCUUCUUAUUGACAUCUUUACAUGUGAGCCCAAGGGGAAAUGCACCAUGCCUGAUAAAAGUAAAAUUAAAAAUAAAAAUUUUCUUUUAUCAAAUCACUCUAUGUGGUGGAGAUUAUUGUAUAAUCAAGUACACAUGGCAUUUUUAAAAGCUUUUUCUUUAUUUAAAGCUCUAAAGGUUUGCCUAAGAGUCAAGGUUGGUGCCGUUCUUCUAGAAGAACAACCCGUAUCUUUUGAUAUUCAAAGUUUGAAUAUCAAGUUCAAACUUUAAAUUUUGAAAUAAUAAUAAUAAUAAAUAUAAAAAGUGCCAAAUUUUUAGCUAUAAAUAGAGGGGUUCACCCCCUCAUUUCACUCAUUCCAUUCUUUUCUUCUUUAGUUCUAUAAUGAGAGAGUAAGAGUUUUAUACUCUUGAGUGACUAGUGUUUAGAGAGAUUGGGUGUAUUAAGGUUUUGAUAAGUGAAACAAAAUACUAAAAUACUUAUAAUUCUCAUUUCACUAGUAAAGUUUUAUCCUUUUGUCCUUGCCUAUGGGCAUAAGUUAAAAGCCGAACCAAAUAAUUUAUGGUGUCCUCUGUGUGCUUGUUCUUCAUUUUCUUCCAAUUUCAUUUUAGUCGUGGCCCUACUUCACCAAUCAAUUUUCUAAUAGUGGUAUUAGAGCCGGGUUGUAUUUUUUGGGGUCGAGAUACUAUUUACAUAUAUUGUAUUGUUCAUGUAUAUGAUAUUGUUUCUGUAUACGACACUUUAUUCAUAUAUACAGUUACUGCUCAUGUGAAAUGGUAGGAAUCGAUCUUAGCAAAGGUAGCUCGUGGUGAAAAGUGAUGGCGGAAAAAUACAAAAUUGAGAAGUUCAACAGAAAUAAUUUUUCGUCAUGAAAAAUGAAGAUGAAGGUUGUAUUGAGGAAAAGUAAUUGCUUGGCAGCAAUUGAAGAGAGGCUCACAAAGAUAACUAAUGAUGGCAAGUGGAAUGAGAUAGACAAUAAUGCCAUUGCAUAUCUACACUUACCACUUUCAGAUAGGGUAUUUUUCAAUAUGGUAGAGUAAAAGAGAGUAAAGGAAAUAUGGUUUACUCUCACAAGACUAUACGAGGUCAAAUCACUACAAAAUAAAAUCUUCUUAAAGAUGAGGCUUUAUACUCUUCAAAUGGAGGAAUCUACAUCAGUGAUCGACCAUAUCAACACUUUAAAGACUUUAUUUUCAUAACUUACAACGUUGGGUCAUAAAAUAGAGGAAAAUAAACAUAUAGAGCUUUUACUUCAAGGUUUACCAGAUUCGUAUGAUCAAUUCGUCAUUAAUAUAACUAAUAACAAUCGAGCAAACAAGUUAGUCUUUGACAAUAUGGCAGCCUCCGUAUUAAAUGAGGAGAGUAGCAAAAAAUAAAAAAGAUAGACAGAAGAGUUCGCAACAAGUAGAAGCGCUAUUGGUGAUGAAAGGAAGAUCCAUGGAACGUGGCCCUAGUGAGAGCCACAGUCACGGUAGAUCAAAAUCUAGAAGUAAAAAGAAUGUCAAAUGCAACAACUGUUGCAAGAAAGGGCAUGUCAAGGAAGAGUUUUGGAACAACUAGAAGAGAAGAGAUGGUAAAGAUUCUGAGUCAUCAAAUGCUCAAGGGUAUGUAGUAAGUACCUCGUAUGAUGGCAAAAUUCUCUACAGUAAGGCAACAACUGCUUCAGAAGAUAGAAAACCACUAUAUGACAUCUGGCUUAUAGACUUAAUAGUUGCCUGGCACAUGAUCUCUCCAAGAGAAUGAUUUCACAAAUAUGAACCUAUUUCAAGAGAAUUUGUAUACAUAGGUGAUGAUUAUGCCUUUGAGAUUACUGAUAUUGGUACUGUCAAAAUAAAUAUGUUUAAUGGUAUGGUUCGCACAAUUGAGAAGGUAAGACAUGUCAAAGACUUGAAAAAUAUCUCUUGUCUUUAGGACAAAUAGAUAGUCUUACGCGCAAAACUCAUGUAGAAAAUGGGAUCAUAAAGAUAGUCAAAGGCGCACUUGCAUUAAUGAAGGUGGAAAAGAUCGGUGAUAAUUUAUUCAUGCUUAAAGGGAAACACUACAGAAAGCUUUUGUGUCAGUCACAUCAAAUAGAGAAAAUUCAGUGAUGAUGUGGCAUCUUAAACUUGGCCACAUGUCAAAACAAGGAAGCAACAUAGAUGAAAGUUUAGCAGAUCCACUUUCAAAAGUAAAUGUAUUUUAGACUUGAUUCAUUCUAAUGUUUGGGAAUCAAUUGAUAUAUCUAUGGGAGGUGCAAAGUACUUGGUGACUUUUAUUAAUGAUUAUUCUAGGAGAUAUUUGGUGUAUCCAAUCAAGAAAAGGUCAAAUGUAUUUCCAUUGUUCAAAGAAUUCAAAGCGUAGAUUGAACUUAAAUCAGGGCAAGGGAUCAAGUGCCUGAGGACAGACAAUGGUGGAGAGUAUACAAAUAGCAUGUUUCUUGCAUAUGUAAGCAAGAAAGUAUCUAGAGAUAGUUCACGGUGGCAUACACUCCUCAAUAAAAUAGAGUAGUAGAGUGAAAGGGCAUGACUCUUAUAAAAAAAAAAAGAGUUAUGUUGAGAAAUGCUGGUCUACCAACUCAUUCUAGGUGGAAGUAGCAAAAACUACUUAUUAUGUGGUAAGUGGGUCAUCAUUCAAUGCAACCGGGUUGAAAAUUCCAAUGGAAAAAAUAGACAGGAAAGCCAGUUGAUUACUCUCAUCUCAGGCAUUUUGAUGUCCUUUUACGUGAUAUACAAUACCCAAGUGAGAUUAAAGAUGGAUCCAAAAUCCAAGAGAUGUAUCUUCUUAGGAUAUAUUGAUGGAGUGAAAGGGUAUUAUCUGUGGGACCUCAAUGCCCAUAAGAUCGUUAUCAGUAGAGAUAUUAUCUUUGUAGAAGAUCAAAUGCAAAAGAGAGAUAUGGAUGAUAGCACUAUAAAAAUUCAGAGAUUGUGCUAAUAUAUGUUGAAAAUAAUCUGGAAAAUGAAGAUUUAGAUUUUUUUGAAGCAGCACCAAAGUAUGAGAACAAGAACCAAUCGAGUCUGAGGCCCCAAAAGUUUGUUGGUCAACUCGUGAUAGAUAAUUGUCAGUGUGGCAUUUGGAUUAUGUCACAGAUAUCAAUUUUGCAUACUGUCUUUUAAUAGAGAAUGGAAAGCCAUCAACUUUUCAUGAAACCUUAAACAGCUCAGAUGUUACUUUGUGAAUGAUAGCAAUGCAGGAAGAAAUUAAGGCUCUACACAAGAAUAUGACAUAGGAACUCGUACUACUACUAUAUGAAAAAAAAAAGACCCAUUGGUUGGAAAUGGGUCCAUAAGAUCAAACGUGAUGGUAAUAACCUAGUGGAGCGGUAUCAUGAAAGAUUGGUGAUGGAAGAAUAUCCUUAGAAAGAAUGUAUUAACUUCAAUGAGAUAUUUUCUCCAGUGAUUUGACUCAGGACAGUCAGAGUGGUCUUGUCGAUGUGUGCUACAUUUGACCUAUAUUUGGAGCAGUUAGAUGUGAAAAUUUCAUUUCUUUAUGGAGAACUUGAAGAAAAGAUUUCUAUGCUCUAACUAGAAGGUUUUACUAAAAAGGGACACUUGGUUUGCAAGUUAAACAAAUCUCUAUACGAUCUCAAACAUGCACCGAGAUGUUGAUAUAAGAGAUUUGAUCCAUUCAUCAUAAACCUUGGAUACAAUAGAAUCAGUUCAGACUGUUGUACAUAUUACAACAAGUUUGAUAAUAAUAAUUUCAUCAUUCUACUGUGGUAUGUUGAUGACAUAUUAGUAGCAGGCCCCAACAAAGAUCGAGUCCAAGAACUAAAGCACAGUUAACUAGGGAGUUUGAAAUAAAAGACUUAGAACCAGCAAACAAGAUUUUAGGGAUGCAAAUUCACCGAGAUAGUAAUAGCAAAAAGAUUUGGCUUUCUACCCCGCCUCCCAUUAAUUUCAAGUUAUUCUUAAGUAUUCAUCUAGUAAUGAAGUAGAGAAGAAGAGAUGUCUUGAGUACUGUAUGCAUCAGCAGUGGAAAAUUUAAGGUUCGCUAUGAUUUGUACAAGUAGUGGGAGAGGUUAGUCGAUACAUAGCGAAUCCUUGCAAAGAACAUUGGAAGACUAUUAAGAGGAUUCUGAGAUAUAUCAUAGGAACAUCAGAUGUUGCAUUAUGUUACGAAGGAUACUGUCAAGGGCCAUGUGCAUUCAGAUUUUGCAGAAAAUCUUAAUAAAAAAAAAUCCACUACUGGCUAAGUAUUUGCACCAGAAUGAGAAAUUGUUAGUUGGAUUUCAAAAUUGCAGACCAUUGUGGCUUUAUCAACAACAGAAGCAGAUUACAUAGCAGCUACACAAGCUUGGAUGAGCUAUUUAGAUACAAAGGUUACUGAAGGAGCUUGGGCAUAAAAUUUUUUAUGGCUUGUGAUAGUUAGAAUGCAAGGAAUCCAACCUUUUAUUUUAGGACAAAGAAUAUAGGAGUACAAUAUCACUUCUUCGUGAAGUAGUGAAAGAUAUAAGAGUGGAUACCAAGGAGAACUUAACAAAUGUUUUGCCCAAGCCUAUCAAUGCUGAUAAAUUUGUUUGGAGUAGAUCAUUUUACGGCCUAGUAGAGACAUAAACAACAUGACAGCGGCGAAGUAGAAAGGAUGGUGUGGAGAUUGAUUGAUUCUCAAUCAAAUUUCUAAGUGGGAGAAUAUCAAAGUCAAUGUCGCUUUUCUAGAAGAGCGACCAAUACCUUUUGAUAUUCAAAGUUUGAAUGUCAAGUUCAAACUUUGAAUUUAAUAUAUAUAUAUAUAUAUAUAUAUAUAUAUAUAUAUAUAUAUAUAUAUAUAUAUAUAUAAAUAGUGCCCAAAAUUUUAACUAUAAAUGAGGGGUUCACCCCUGCAUUUCAUUCUUUUCUUCUUCAAUUCUAGUGUGAGAGACUAAGAGUUUUAAUGCUCUUGAGUGAUUAGUGUUUUAAGAGAUUGAGUGGAUUGGGGUUCUGGGAAGUGAAACAAAAUAUUAUAAUACUAGUAAUCCUCAUUUCACCACUAAAGUUUUAUCUUUUGUCUUUACCCAUAGACGUAGGUUAAAAGUCGAACCACGUAAUUUUUAGUGUCCUCUGUGUGCUUGCUCUUCAUUUUCUUCCAAUUUUAUUUUAGCUAUGGACCUACUUCACCAGUAAAUUGAAGACGUUGGAACUGCGUGAUUUAGAUAGCCUCACAAGUUUCUGCUCUACCAAUUACACCUUCAAAUUCCCAUCUUUGCAAGAGUUAUGUGUGAUUGGUUGUCCCAAGAUGAAGAUUUUCACUACAGGAGAAUCAAUCACGCCGAGUAAACGUCUGCUAUGGAGAGACAGCGGAUCAACGGCGCUGGGCUAAUAAUGAUCUAAACACAACCAUACAACAAUUACAUGCUGAGAAGGUACGUAUAUACAUAUUACUCUCUAUCUCCCAUGAUAAAUUUUUACAAAAUUUGCUUUCUUAAAUACAAUAUAGAUAAGAUAUUUGAUGAAUAAGAAUUUUAUUUUAAGCUGUUGGCGGUGUCGUCGUCAUACUCUACGCAGUAGUACGACUAAUGUCAUAGGCUUCUUAUGACCUGGAGUUGCGAAUUUUUAGAAGAAAGUCUCAACUGGUAAUUAAUUUUUAUUUCAUUUAUUUAAUCCCAUGGCUUGUUUCGCAAUUUCAUCUGAAUUAUUUAGAAUGGGUCCCUCGGUUUACUGUUAAAUUUGCAAUGCAAUUUUAAUGAUCCUUUCAGACUUUUAUGGACAGAUUUUGCAAAAUUGAAUGUCUUUUAGUCUAGUUUAAUUUGAGUUUUUCUUUUUUUUUUUAGAGCUCCCCAUGUUUUCUAAAAUUUUAUAAUUCCUUGCAUACUUUUUAGGAUAAAAUUUCAUUAAAAGCCUUCAUAUUUUAUAAUUCCUUGAAAACUUGCAUACUUUUUCCUUUUUUUUUCUUGCCAAUUAUUUAUUGUCAUCAUUGCUGUUCUUUUAUUUUAGUUUGUGCUCUGUUUGUUCAUUGGGUUUGCUUUUCGGAAAGUUAGAAGGCAAGGAAAGUACUUAGAAAAUGUUCUUCCCUAUGAACACAUAAUUAACAGCUGAAUAUCAUUCAUUGGAUUAAAAAAAAUUAAAAUAAAAAAAAGUAAUAAGCCCAUUAUUCCUAGAACAAAUCCUUAAACCAUCAAACGUUAGCUAUGAACAAGUAUAUUGGUCUAUAGCAUAUUCAUAAUAUUUUCUCUGCUGUUCCUGUUAAAAUUUCUCUACUCAAUGAUCGCAGAAUAUCUGGAUACUGAUGAAGAUUUAAGUCACUCUUCUUCUAUGAAUAAGGUCGUUUUUCUUUUUUCUUCUAUUCAAAGUUUCCAUUCUGAGCAGUUCCCAUUUCCAUCUUCGUGAUCUUCUUGUGAUAGUGUGAGUUACAACCUGUCUGUUUCCUUUGUUUGAUCAUUGCAAGUUCAAAGACAUUUUAUUCUAGCUAAGCUCUUUGUAUGUAUUAUAACAUUUUUAUUCUCAAUAUAUAUAUGACUCAAUGAGAGGUCUUUUAUUAUAUUUAUGUCGUGAAUUUCUAUUGUAUUGUGACAUUUGAUGGUGUAUCAUUGUCUCAUUGCAAGGUCUUGUAAUCACUCUGAUUCUCAUUUGAGGAGGUUGGUCUCGUCUAUGUGUAUGUAUUUAUAUCCACAAGAAAUUUGAUAAAUGGUCUUGUCAUUUUCUCAUCAAAACAUCUAGUGCUUCAUAUGUUGGAGGGCUACCAGGCAUCAGGGCCAGUUUUUUAAACUCAAAGUUCUUCCUGUCAUUUUUUAACAAUAAUAAGGAAAGCCCAAGAGAAAAUCUAGAAGUCCUAAUAAGGACCGCUUCUGCAUAUAUUGUUCAUUUUCUUAAUUACCUUCAUUAUUAUUUUCGUUUUCAAUCGAUCAAACUUCAGUUUCUUAGCAUUAAUCUAAUUAUGUACUUCAUCUUGAAAUCCUUAAAUUACCCAUCAAAAUGUGAACGAUUAGUGUAUCAUUUUUGCACUAUAAGAAAUAGUUGUAUUACCGACCAGACAUUUCCACAAUAUACUAUUGAAAAUAAGUACUUUUUACAAAGGUAUUGUCAUUGAUGAGCCGUUGGAUAAAUAUGAAAAGUAUCAUACCUCGGUGAUAAAGAAAAUUCGUUUGUCGGAAAUGGAAUGUCGAGCCCAAAAUUACUCUAAACUUGGUAAAGUUAGAUUUUGGCCCAAUUUGUUUGAAAGUUUUAUACAUAAAGCACUUUUUUUUUUAUGUAAUUUGUGCAAUCUGAAGGGAGGUAUUGUAAAAUUAACAUAAAUAAAUGUAAUAUGCCAAUACCGUUUAAAACAAAAAAGAUAUCAUGAAAUUGAAAAAAAAUAAAUAAUAAUAAUAAUAACAACAUUAAAAGAAAAAGGAAAUUACGGAGAAGAAUAAUCGCUUCUUGAUCUCAACUCUCAAUUUGAAUACAAUCUCUGAAUCUCACUUCUCGAUCUGUCUCCAUUCUUCAUUCGCAUUUACUCGGUGGUAAUUAAUUCUUCACUCUCACUCGCCUUAUUUCCUGCAGAUUUCUUCAUUUUCCUUCACUGUUCGUUUUUAAGGUUCCAUUGUAUUUCCAUUGAGUUUGCAACUGUUCAAUUGCUCGAUCCACAUUAGUUUUAAGGUACGAUUGUUGGUUAUUUUCCUAAUCAAUAGACAACCCUAGAUACGAUCAUAGGAUUUAAUCAAUUGACAGUCUGAAAAAUCAGAGAGACCCAAAUCCUAAUCAACAAACGCAUACGAUGAUUCAUUUAAAUUAGAUUGUUUAUUCUCAUAACACAAUGCACUGCUAUGCUAUUUGUCACAAACAUUAAAAUCUUCAUACGAUAAAUCUUUUAAUUGACAAUAGAUUAAGUUGAUAAUUAAAUAGUAGCCAAUUAUCUAAUUAACAAACAUAAUCAUGACAAUAAUUCAGAGAAUAAACAAAUACCCAAAAAGUAAUAAAAUAAUUAAAGUAUAAGAAAGAUCUCACAGCAGUGAUGAAUCAAAGUUUCAUUAACCUUCAACCAGAAUAAUAGAUUUAGUUUUUCAUAGACAGGAGAGAAAAAUUUAGAUCUAGGGUUUCUUUCUCUUCAAAAAUCUCCGUCUUUGACAAUAGAUUCCUCCCUUAAAUUCUCUUCUCUCUCUUCUCCUCUAGAGUUCUUUUUAAAAUAAAAUACUAAUUUCUAAAAUAUUAUCUAAAUAUUAAAUGCGUAAUUACAAAAAUAACUAAAAAUACAAAACACGUUAAACUAAAAACUGCAGGUCCGUAGUAGACAGCAUGCGCCCACACCUUAUCAACAAAGUUCUUCUGAAGCUCAUAAUUUCUUCAAGAAAACAAUCAUCCUCAAACAUCAUCUUGUAGCUCAAUUUUAGCACCAAUCAAUAAAAUUGCACCUACCAAAAUAAAACACAAGUAAAUCACUAUUAUUAAGUGCAAAACAUCGAUAUUAAAAGAAGUAAAUAAUGCAAAACUAGUGCAUAAAUUGUACUCUAACACUUCAUUCCGAUCCCUUGAUCAUUACUCAUUUAUUUAUUUAUUCUUUGCUUCACUUCUAAGCUUAGCAAAGGAACUUGAACUUUGGCUUUUCAAAUAGGUCACUUUUGCUUUUAAUCUCGCCCAUGAUCUUCAUCAUGAAGAUGACAAACCAUUAUUCUUUAUUCUUCACUUUUGCUUUUAAUCUCGCCCAUGAUCUUCAUCGUGAAGAUGACAAACCAUUAUUCUUUAUUCUUCACUUGUUGAAUUUACAGAAUAUAUAGCAUUCUUAAAAUUUUAGCAAAUCGUUAUUCUUCAGCUUCAGCACCUCAUUAAAAAGUCAUUCUUUGAACUUAUUCUCAAUCAAGAAAAACAUAUGCGUUCGUUCGUUGUAGUCACUGUUGUUUUGUUAUUAAUGUUUGCUCCCUAUUGCCGUUAACUCUCUUGAGCUUCACAGGAUCAGGAAACCCUUUUCUCUUGGCAUCUGUUUUGUUGUAAUCUCUCAGUCCUUGUUGAUUAGUUUCUCUCCGCUCCCAAUUUAGUUGUGUCCUGCUGUUGUCUCUGUUUUGUUCCAUAUCUACUCUCUGCACUUCUGCUGUGUCAAGACAUCUUCUUUUGUUCAUUCGGUUGUGGUCUAUAAUAUAUUUUUCAUCUUUCUUUUGGUCUAUACUUAAGUUAUUUUGAUUGGUUCCUUUCUCCUUUAUUAUCUAAAUCCCUCCUUAUAUUUAUUCAAUCAGUUGUUACGCUUUCUUUCAUUUCUCCGCUUCCACAACCAGAUAAACUGUCCAUCUUUGUUGUUUCUUCUUUUUUCUCUUCUGUGGUUGGCUCUUGUUUAUUUGCUUUUCAGAACUCAAAAAAAAAAAAAAAAUAGAAGGAUCAAAGAUGGUGGAAACCAUUAUUACUGUUGUUUUGGAAGUUGUGAAAUGCUUGGCUCCUCUAGCAGAACGCCAACUUGGUUAUUUACGUAACUAUAAAACCAACUUUGAGAAUCUCAGGGCAAAAUUUGAUGAACUCAAGGAUGAAAGUAGGAGCAUUCAGCACAGAGUUUCUGAGGCUGAAAGAAAAGGAGAAAAGAUUGAAGAGAAGGUUGAAAAGUGGCUGGUUAGUGCAAACGACAUCAUUGACAGCGCAGCCAAAUUCAUUGAAAAUGAGGAGUCAACGAAUAAGCGUUGUCUCAAGGGCUUGUGUCCUAAUUUGAAGACCCGCUAUCAGCUUAGCAAGAAAGCAGAGACAGAAAUGAAGGCCCUUGUUGAACUUGGAGAAGAAGUAAAGAAGUUUGAUAUUGUUUCCCACCGUACCAUUCCGGAGGAGAUUUGGCUCAAGUCUCACAUAGGCUACGAGGCCUUCGAAUCAAGACGUUCUACUUUGGAGGCUAUAAAAAAAGCAUUGAUCGAUGUUAGCAUCAUUGGGGUGUACGGCAUGGGCGGCAUUGGAAAGACGACACUGGUGAAGGAGGUCUCCAGGCAAGCUAUGGAAGCCAAGCUCUUUGAUAUGGUGGUCUUUUCAGAGGUUUCGCAAACUCCAGACAUAAAAAAGAUUCAACAGGAAAUUGCCGAGAAGUUGGGCCUGGAGUUGCGCGAGGAAGUUGAAUCUGGAAGAGCAAGUAGACUAUUUGAGCGAUUGAGAAAUGAGAAGAAGAUCCUUGUGGUUUUAGAUAACAUCUGGAAACACCUUAAUUUGGAGACUGUUGGAAUUCCUUUUGCAGAAGAUCAUAAAGGAUGCAAACUACUGCUGACAGCAAGAGAUCGUAGUGUCCUCUUACAAAUGGGAUCCAAAGACAACUUUUUGAUAAACAACUUAAAAGAAGAAGAAGCCGGGAGAUUGUUUAAGAUGAUGGCCGGUGAUGAUGUUGAAAAUCGUGAGUUGAAAUCUACAGCAAUAGACGUCGCCAGGGCAUGUGGAGGUUUGCCCAUUGCCUUGAGUACGGUAGCAAAGGCAUUGAGAGGCAAGAGUCUGCAUGAAUGGAAGAAUUCCUUGCGAGAACUCCGAACGCCUUCAAUGGUAAACUUCGAAGGAGUAUCUGCAGAGACUUAUGCAAGUAUUGAGCUGAGUUUCAACCAAUUAAAAGGUGAACGCAAGGAAAUUUUUCAGCUCUGCAGUCUAAUGGGUAACCGUAUUUUUACUUUCGACUUGUUUAAGUACUCCAUGGGUUUGGGUAUAUUUAAAGGAGUCAAUAAGAUGGAAGAUGCACGAGACAAAUUAUAUGCAUUGGUCCAUGAACUUAGAGACUCUUGUUUGUUGCUUGAGGGUGAGAGCAAUGAACAAUUGUCAAUGCAUGAUGUUGUUCGCGAUGUCGCGAUAUCAAUUGCAUGCCGCCAGCAACAUGUGUUUUCGGUGAGGAAUGAGGAUGUGUGGGACUGGCCAGAUAAGGAUGCACUUCGAAAUUGCAAAGCUAUCUCUUUAAUAAAAAAUAGUAAUCGUGAAUUUCCUGAAGGAUUAGAAUGCCCAAACCUUGAAUUUUUAUAUAUCUCUCUCAAAGAUUUUUCUCUUGAAAUCAAUAUUCCUGAGAACUUUUUUGUAGGGAUGAAAAAGCUUAGAGUUCUAGAUUUUACUCGAAUGCAGUUUUCUUCUUUUCCAUCUUCAAUUGAUCUUCUAGUAAAUCUUCACACACUAUGUCUGGAUAAAAGUGCGUUGGGCGACAUAGCAAUCAUUGGGAAGUUGAAGAAUCUAGAAGUCCUUAGCUUUUUGAAGUCUGAUAUAACGCAGUUGCCAGAAGAACUAGGUCAAUUGAAUAAGUUGAGAUUGUUAGAUUUAACCAAUUGUUUCCGUCUGAAAGUUAUUGCCCCAAAUGUCAUAUCAAGCUUAAUCCGAUUAGAAGAGCUGUAUAUGGGUAAUUGCUCCAUUGAAUGGGAGGUUGAAAGAGCCAACAGCAAAAGAAGUAAUGCUAGCCUUGAUGAAUUGAUGCAUUUACCUCGGCUAACCACUCUAGAAAUUGAUGUUAAAAAUGACAGUAUGUUACCAGAAGGUUUUUUGGCCAGAAAGCUCGAAAGGUUCAAAAUAUCUAUUGGAAAUGGGUUAUUCACACAUCCCAUGAUUGCUGAACAAAAUUGGUUCCAAAGUCUGCGGCGCUUUUCUCGCAAAAGUGAUCGCAAGAGUUUAAGAGCAUUGAAGCUCAAGCUUGCUUUUAUGGACAUUUGCUCCAUGAAAUUGCAGGGCAUCAAUAACGUAGAAUGCUUAUGGUUGGACAAGCUGCAAGGCAUCGAGAAUGUUCUUUUCAAUUUGGACACAGAGGGCUUUUCACAAUUGAAGCUUCUCUGGGUUCAAAAUAAUCCUGACAUCUUUUGUAUCGUCGAUUCAAGGGCGAUGGUCGCUUGUGAUGCCUUUCCUCUUUUGGAGUCACUUGGCCUUCACAAUUUGAUCAACAUGGAGAGGAUAUGUAUUGAUCGGCUCAAAGUAGAGUCCUUCAACGAACUCAAAAUCAUACAAGCAUAUAAUUGUGAUAAAUUGAGUAAUAUCUUUUGGCUCUCUACAACAAAAUGCCUUCCAAGACUUGAGAGAAUUGCAGUUAUUAAUUGCAGCAAGAUGAAAGAGAUUUUUGCAAUUGGGGAAGAAGUUGAUAAUGCAAUUGAGAAGAUAGAGUUUGCUCAAUUAAGAUCUUUGAGUCUGGGGAAUCUUCCAGAGUUUACAAGUUUUUGCCGUGAGGUGAAGACUCCUUCAGCAUCACCAAACAGACCAGCGUCGCAGGAGGAAUCGACGACUACGUAUAGCUCCAGCGAAAUCACUUUGGAUACUUCAACUCUGCUUUUCAACGAGAAGGUGCGUAGGCUAACAUUUUCUUUAUUCUAUCAUGCGUUCUGUUUUGAUGUCAUACGUGGAAAAUAAUUAAAUCAUUUAAAGAAUUGAAAGAAAAUGGAAAAAAGGAUAAAAAGAAUCUCACGCGCUCACUAAUUGAGCUCUUAACAAGUAGUAUGAAUUAGAAUGCAUACUCAGCUGUCAGUUGGAAAUUGAUUCAGACUUGCAUUAAUUUGUAAUCAAAGAAGAAAAUUUCAACAAGUGCUUCCCAUAUGGAUAUUGGAUCUAACGAGAAAUUCUUCUUUUUUUAGGUUGCGUUGCCUAACUUGGAGGCUUUGGAGAUAUCUGCAAUUAAUGUCGACAAGAUUUGGCACUACAAUCAAAUUCCAGCGGCCGUGCUUCCUCACUUUCAAAGUUUAACACGAUUGAUUGUGUGGGGUUGUCACAAAUUAAAAUACAUAUUUUCAGCGUCUAUGAUCGGAAGCCUUAAGCAGCUCCGACACCUAGAUAUACGCUUCUGUGAGGAUUUAGAGGAGAUCAUUUCUGAAAACAGAGCAGAUGAAGUUAUCCCUUAUUUUGUCUUUCCACAGCUCACCACUCUAAGACUCGAAUGUCUACCAAAACUUAGAUGUUUGUACCCUGGAAUGCAUACUUCGGAAUGGCCCGCACUAGAAAUUCUUUUAGUGGGUCGUUGUGACAAAUUAAAGAUAUUCGAUGCAGAUUUAUCGCAGAAUAAUGAGAAUGAUCAACUUGGUAUUCCUGCACAACAGCCCCUAUUGCCGUUGGAAAAGGUACGAAGCCAUUUUCUAGAUUUUUUAUCAAUAGCGUAUUUUUAACUUCGAAAAAAAUGACAAAGCAUCGAUAAAUUAACACUCAAUAAAUUGAAAACUUUUAUUAUACAAUAAUCUUUGCUAGUCUAGAUUAAGAGAUCAAUGUGGUAGAUUAAUAAUUAUAUGAACUUUUUAAGGUAUAGCAUUUAUAAAAGAAUCCUUAGUCUUUCCAUAUAGAAGAACUUACAAAAUAAAUUAGUAAUUUAUUAUUGUGCAAUAAAAUAAUUUCAAACCAGUAUAAAUCAACCUUUUUUCCCUAAUUUCUUUUUUACCUCUAAAAUUAACAUAUAAAAUAAAUUUUAUCAAUAAUUCAUUUUUUUUUUAAAAUAUAAUAUAAAACAAAUACUAUAAAGUCACUGCGUGUGACCGUAGAUCAUCAAUUGACCUCAUUAGUUAUUAUGAUUGAUGAUGAUCAGAUCGUACCCAACUUGAAGGAACUAUCACUAAGUGGAAAAGAUGUGAAGAUGAUUUUGCAGGCCGAUUUCCCACAACACCUUUUUGGCAGUCUUAGAGAACUAGAGAUUGCUGCAGAUGACUCAGCUGGUUUUACAAUCUGGAACGUACUGGAGAGAUUUCACAAUCUCGAAAUACUCACACUGUUGUUUUUUUCAUCCCACGAAGAGCUAUUUUCGAUGGAAGGAUGCUUACAGAAACAUGUGGGGAAGUUGGCAAUGAUAAAAGAAUUACAGCUGCGCUGGCACUAUCAUCUGGAGCAGCUGUGCAAGCAAGACUCCAAACUUGGCCCCAUUUUUCAGUAUCUUGAAAUUCUAAAAGUAUAUCAUUGUCAAAGUCUGUUAAUUCUAUUGCCAUCAUCAUCGGUAUCUUUUGGGAACCUAACAAAACUUGUAGCUUUCGGUUGCAAGGAAUUGAUACACUUGGUAACAUCCUCCACAGCAAAAACUCUGGUGCGACUCAUAGCAAUAGAAAUAUAUGGAUGCAGAGCAAUGACAGAGGUGGUAAUAAAUGACAAAGAUGGAGUUGAAAAAGAAGAGAUUGUUUUUAGCAAAUUGAAGACGUUGGGACUGUUUGAUUUAGAUAGCCUCACAAGUUUCUGUUCUGCCAAUUACACCUUCAAAUUCCCAUCUUUGGAAUAUCUGGAUGUGAUUGGUUGUCCCAAGAUGAAGAUUUUCACUACAGGAGAAUCAAUCACGCCUCUAAGAGUAAACGUCUGCUAUGGAGAGACAGCGGAUCAACGGCGCUGGGCUAAUAAUGAUCUAA
rnacentral:lncRNA from 1 species